rnacentral:tRNA from 13 species
UGACCCGGACGUGAUUCGAGCACGCAACCUUCAAAUCUGGAGUCAGAUGCGCUGCCGUUGCGCAACCGAGCC